rnacentral:rRNA from 1 species
AACGAACGCUGGCGGCAUGCCUAACACAUGCAAGUCGAACGAGACCUUCGGGUCUAGUGGCGCACGGGUGCGUAACGCGUGGUAACCUGCCCUUAGGUUCGGAAUAACUCCCCGAAAGGGGUGCUAAUACCGCAUAAUGUCUUCGGACCAAGGAUUUAUCGCCUUUUGAUGGGCCCGCGUUGGAUUAGCUAGUUGGUAGGGUAAAAGCCUACCAAGGCGCCGAUCCAGAGCUGGUCGGAGAGGAUGAUCAGCCACACUGGGACUGGGACACGGCCCAGACUCCUACGGGAGGCAGCAGGGGGGAAUAUUGGACAAGGGGCGAAAGCCUGAACCAGCGCGGCCGCGAGAGUGAUGAAGGCCUUAGGGUUGUAAAGCUCUUUUACCCGGGAUGAUAAUGACAGUACCGGGAGAAUAAGCUCCGGUUACUUCCGU